rnacentral:rRNA from 1 species
CAGCAGUCGCCGCGGUAAUACAGAGGGUGCGAGCGUUAAUCGGAUUUACUGGGCGUAAAGCGUGCGUAGGCGGCUUUUUAAGUCGGAUGUGAAAUCCCUGAGCUUAACUUAGGAAUUGCAUUCGAUACUGGGAAGCUAGAGUAUGGGAGAGGAUGGUAGAAUUCCAGGUGUAGCGGUGAAAUGCGUAGAGAUUUGGAGGAAUACCGAUGGCGAAGGCAGCCAUCUGGCCUAAUACUGACGCUGAGGUACGAAAGCAUGGGGAGCAAACAGGAUUAGAUACCCGAGUAGUCCCUGUCUCUUAUAC